AGAUUGAACGCUGGCGGCAGGCCUAACACAUGCAAGUCGAGCGGCAGCACGGGUACUUGUACCUGGUGGCGAGCGGCGGACGGGUGAGUAAUGCCUAGGAAUCUGCCUGGUAGUGGGGGAUAACGCUCGGAAACGGACGCUAAUACCGCAUACGUCCUACGGGAGAAAGCAGGGGACCUUCGGGCCUUGCGCUAUCAGAUGAGCCUAGGUCGGAUUAGCUAGGUUGGUGGGUAAUGGCUCACCAAGGCGACGAUCCGUAACUGGUCUGAGAGGAUGAUCAGUCACACUGGAACUGAGACACGGU
rnacentral:rRNA from 1 species